rnacentral:rRNA from 1 species
CGGUAAUUCCAGCUCCAAUAGCGUAUACUAAAGUUGUUGCAGUUAAAAAGCUCGUAGUUGGAUUUCUGCGGGGACGGAGCGGCCGGUCGCAACUUGCGACUCGAGCUAGCGCUUUCCCCGCAUCCUGCCGCGAACCGUGCUACCAUUAGUUUGGUGGCGCUGGGGAUCGGCUCGAUUACUUUGAGAAAAAUAGAGUGUUCAAAGCAGGCCACACGCCUUGAAUAAGUUAGCAUGGAAUAAUGACUAAGGACUUUGGUUCUUUUCGUUGGUGUUCGGGACUGAAGUAAUGAUUGAUAGGGACAGUUGGGGCGGUCCGUAUUCCAAAGCGAGAGGUGAAAUUCUUAGACCUUCGGAAGACGAACAGCUGCGAAAGCGUUCCGCAAGGAUGUUCCCUUUGAUCAAGAACGAAAGUUGGGGGAUCGAAGACGAUCAGAUACCGUCGUAGUCUCAACUAUAAACUAUACCAGCUAGGGAUCGGCCAACGUUUAAUUUAUCGACUUGGUCGGCACCUUAUGAGAAAUCAAAGCAUCUGGGUUCCGGGGGGAGUAUGGUCGCAAGGCUGAAACUUAAAGGAAUUGACGGAAGGGCACCACCAGCCGUGGAGCCUGUGGCUUAAUUUGACUCAACACGGGAAAACUUACCAGGUCCGGACAUAGUAAGGAUUGACAGAUUGAUAGCUCUUUCUUGAUUCUGUGGGUGGUGGUGCAUGGCCGUUUUUAGUCGGUGGAUGUGAUCUGUCUGCUUAAUUGCGUUAACGGACGAGACCCCAGCCUGCUAAAUAGCGCGGCCGAGCUUUGCUCGGUGCGAGCUUCUUAGAGGGACCAUGAUGCGCGAUAGCACAAGGAAGUUUGGGGCAACAACAGGUCUGUGAUGCCCUUAGAUGUUCUGGGCCGCACACGGGCUACACUGGCGCCUGCAACGAGCAUAUCAGCUGGCCCGAGAGGGUCUUGGCUAAUCUUUGGAACCGGCGCCGUGCUUGGGAUUGACCAUUGCAAUUGUUGGUCAUGCAACGAGGAAUGCCUUGUAAACGCGAGUCAUCAGCUCGCAUUGAAUACGUCCCUGCCCUUUGUACACACCGCCCGUCGCUCCUACCGAUGAAUGUUCCGAUGAAAUUUUCGGAGAGCACCAGAGAACGGGGCUCCGCCUUGCAGAUCUGGAGGCUCAAAGUCACUUAAAUCUGAACAUUUCGAGGAAGGAGAAGUCGUAACAAGGUAGCCG